UGGGGAAUAUUGCACAAUGGGCGCAAGCCUGAUGCAGCCAUGGCGCGUGUAUGAAGAAGGCCUUCGGGUUGUAAAGUACUUUCAGCGGGGAGGAAGGYGAUAAGGUUAAUAACCUUGUCGAUUGACGUUACCCGCAGAAGAAGCACCGGCUAACUCCGUG
rnacentral:rRNA from 1 species